CCAUCUUUGCUCAGUUGGUGAGUGGUAGUGGCAGAUAUGGCAUCAAGCUUGCAGAAGAUCGAAAGCGAUGAUUCCGUUCUCUUGCGUGUUACUCAUUCCAAUCUCAAAAGUUUCAACUCUGACAUUCGCUUCUCGCUUCAGUUGACGGUGGAAGCUGUGAAAGAGAAGAUCUGGAAGAAAUGCGGCACUUCGGUGAACUCCAUGCAGCUUGAGCUCUACGACGACGCUCGCAAAAAAAUUGCUGAUCUCACCGAUAAUUCUAAACCCCUCGGAUUCUAUUCGCCGCUCCCUGGGUUCCGUUUGCAUGUUAUAGAUCUUGAUCCGUCAUCUGUCACAUCGGGUGGUUGGCUGGAAGAUACUUCAUUGGUCGAAAAAUACAAAAUUUCUGAAGAAGCCUAUAAUAAGAGAAAAGACACUUUCAGAAAGUAUAAAGAGAAAUUAACUUCUGAAAUUCCAUCAACUGUUGAGGCAAAGAUGUCAGACACAUACAUGGAAGAGCUCUGUGCUAAUAUCAAGGUAGGAUCCAGAUGUGAAGUUGAACCUGGGGAGAAAAGGGGUGUUGUAAAAUUUGUUGGUCGGGCAGAGUCUUUGGGUCCAGGUUUCUGGGUUGGAGUACAAUAUGAUGAACCAUUGGGCAAACAUGAUGGCAUGGUCAAAGGAGUCCGCUACUUUGAAUGCCUUCCAUCUCAUGGUGGAAUGGUUAGGCCAGAUAAAGUGCAGGUUUGUCAGAACUACACUGUAGUGGUCCUCUAAUAUUGGAAUAUUUUUCACUGCACCUACUGCUUCUCUUUUUCCCUGAUUAACGAAAAGAAACAUUAACUAGAAGAAAAAAUUACAAAAAAGAUGGGAGGAUCAUGAAUCCCCAUUAACACUAGUACAAUACCCAGAACAAAGGAAGGAAUAUCUAGGCAGUCACCAAUUGCUCAAUAUAUGUGAUAGAAACCUAAUUGAAAAGGCCAUGUGCUUUAUACCAAAUAAAAAUCCAAGCCCCUAUUCUUAUCCCAGUACAAAUCUUGUGUCAUGCUUCGAUUUACCUGCAAAGUGCUCUCCCAAAAGCAUAGUGUAGUUUGACAUAUAGUCAUACACCGAUAAUAUAAUCACAUGUUCUGCUUUGAUAGGUUUAGGAUAAAUACCUGUGUGAAAUAAAAAUUGGUGAUGAUAUUAUUGAUUGUGUGAUUGUCUCCACUCCCUCUCAAGCUUCCCCAUCCUGUUCUUCAUCAACAAUUAUUCAUUGCUGCACUGUGGUUUGGUCGUUUGACCAUUGAUCCUUUCCUUGCACAUUUCAUUUACUGAACUGCUUUCAAAACAUUGGUUACUUGGAUAAAUCUUUGAUCAAUCAAGGCAGUUUUCUUUUUAUUUUUUAGGUUGGUGACUACCCUGAACGAGAUCCCUUUGAAGAGGAUGAAAUAUGAGUUUUCAAGAGAAAGACACUCUUAGGUGUCCCCCUAAAGUUAUUCAUUAAUAUCGGUAACUUAGACACCUCGGCAUUGCAAGGCUGAUAUGUGAAGUUAAAAAAGUGGUCAAUAGCGGUGUCUGGAUUGUUUGUGUUAUUAUCUAUGCAAUGAAAACAUGAUGCAAUGUGGAAAACAAAAAAUGGCAGUCCAUUUCUGUGAUAAAUUGAGAAACAAAGCAGGAUACGCUUUGGAGAACUUGUAGAUUGGUGAUUGGCACCGAAAGGAAUUAUUACAUCUCGUUCUAAGAGAAUAUGAUUUGGUUAUGGCCAAGACAUCAUUUAUUCAAAAUCUAAAUAAAAUUAGGUAACAUAAAA